CAGCAAUGGAGCGAGGCGCAGAUAUAGCGGAGUGCGCUUUGACUUGGGUGGAAGUCGUCAGGCUAGGAAGGGGUUAAGGUUUGAAGCUGGGUUUGGGGGGAGGAGUGAGGUUUCGCGGGCAGUAUAUAGGGUUUGGGGGGAGUGGUUUGGUAAGCAGG